UUGGGCGCCUUAGAGGCUUAAUUUUCAGAAAUUGAUUUGAUAUUUGGAAUCUGCAUAAUUUUUAAACUCUAAUGGGAUUUUCUGUGAAAUUUCAAUUUAGGAUGCUUAAACGAUUAAAUUUUGUCUUAUUAUAAACAUAAAUAUCUAUAUCAAGCUUUAAGAUGUCUUUGACUUGAAAACACCUCCUGUGUGCAACCUAGAAGAGGGAAUUUCGUGAGAGUUGGAGAGAAGGCCUUCAAGUGAAGGAUUUGGGGAAUUUUGUGAAGAUUGCUUAGAUUAAACUCAAGGGCACACUCCGGAAGGAACUAGCACGCCAUCACAACGCUGAAAUCAGCUUGGAGGUCAGUCCUUACAUCAUCAUUAUCUAUCUUUUGUCAGCUUAAG